UACGUAGGGUCCAAGCGUUAUCCGGAAUCACUGGGCGUAAAGCGCGCGUAGGCGGACAUUUAAGUCAGGGGUGAAAUGCCGGGGCUCAACCUCGGAACUGCCUUUGAUACUGGAUGUCUGGAGUUCGGGAGAGGUGAGUGGAAUUCCGAGUGUAGUGGUGAAAUGCGUAGAGAUCGGCAGGAACACCCAGGGAGAAAUCAGCCGCCUGGGCAAGUGCUGACGCUGAGGUGCGAAAGCGUGGGGAGCGAACCGG
rnacentral:rRNA from 1 species